rnacentral:tRNA from 1 species
CCUGGUGGUUUAGAGGUUAAAGCAUCUGCCUCUAACGCAGGAGACCUGGGUUCGAUCCCUGCAUCUGGA